rfam:Camelus ferus unplaced genomic scaffold scaffold576, whole genome shotgun sequence.
GAGGGUAUAGCUCAGUGGUAAAGUGCAUGCUUAGCAUGCAUGAGGUGCUGGGUUCGAUCCCCAGUACUGUUA